rnacentral:rRNA from 1 species
GAUGAACGCUGGCGGCGUGCUUAACACAUGCAAGUCGAGCGAACAGACGAGGCGCUUGCUCCUCUGACGAUAGCGGCGGACGGGUGAGUAACACGUGGAUAACCUACCUAUAAGACUGGGAUAACUUCGGGAAACCGGAGCUAACACCGGAUAAGAUAUUGAACCGCAGGGUGCAAUAGUGAAAGACGGUUGUGCGGUCACUUAUAGAUGGAUCCGCGCCGGAUGAGCUAGUUGGUAAGGUAACGGCUUACGAAGGCAACGAUGCGUAGCCGCACUGAGAGGGUGGUUGGCCACACUGGAACUGUGACACGCUCCAGACUCCUACGGGGGGCAGCCGUAGGGAAUCUUCCGCAAGGGGCGAAAGCCUGACGGAGCAACGCCGCGUGAGUGAUGAGGGUCUUCGGAUCGUAGAACUCUGUUAUUAGGUAAGAACCAAUGUGUAAGUAACUAUGCACGUCUUGACGGUACCUGAUCAAAAAGCCACGGCUAACUACGUG